UACGGGGGGUCCAAGCGUUAUUCGGAAUUAUUGGGCGUAAAGCGCAUGUAGGCGGUUGGGUAUGUCAGAUGUGAAAGCCCGGGGCUUAACCCCGGAAGUGCAUUUGAAACUGCCUGGCUUGAGUCUCGGAGAGGAAGGUGGAAUUCCCAGUGUAGAGGUGGAAUUCGUAGAUAUUGGGAGGAACACCGGUGGCGAAAGCGACCUUCUGGACGAUGACUGACGCUCAGAUGCGAAAGCGUGGGUAGCAAACAGG
rnacentral:rRNA from 1 species